rnacentral:rRNA from 1 species
ACUCAAAGGAAUUGACGGGGGCCCGCACAAGCAGCGGAGCGUGUGGUUUAAUUCGAUGCAACGCGAAGAACCUUACCUGGGCUUGAACGUGCAGUGACAGCCGGUGAAAGCCGGUCUCCCUUCGGGGCAUUGUGCGAGGUGAUGCACGGCUGUCGUCAGCUCGUGCCGUGAGGUGUUGGGUUAAGUCCCGCAACGAGCGCAACCCUUGUCGCUAGUUGUAUUUCUCUAGCGAGACUGCCCGUAGCAAACGGGAGGAAGGCGGGGAUGACGUCAAGUCAGCGUGUCCCUUACGUCCAGGGCUACACACACGCUACAAUGGCCGGUACAACGGGUCGCGACAUGGCGACAUGAAGCUAAUCCCUGAAAGCCGGCCUCAGUUCAGAUUGCAGGCUGAAACCCGCCUGCAUGAAGGCGGAGUUGCUAGUAACCGUGGGUCAGCAUACCGCGGUGAAUACGUUCCCGGGCCUUGUACACACCGCCCGU